UUAGGAAAAGUAUAUAUUAAAGCAAAAGUACUACCAAGUACUUCUGACUAGUAUAUAUGAUAUACACAAGGACUUAGGAUUUUAGGAUUUUAGGGUUUUGUGUAUGUACGAGCAUUGAUGUUAUAUUAAUACUGUAAGGAUCCUAAGGAAAACCAUGGAAUUUAAACGCAGUGAACUGAAACAUCUAAGUAACUGUAGGAAAGGAAAUCAACCGAGACUCCAUGAGUAGUGGCGAGCGAAAGUGGAUUAGCCGAGAUAUUAAUGAUUUAAGUUUUAAUGAUUUGAAAGAUUAUUCCAUAGAAGGUAAAAGCCCUGUGAAAUUUAUCAUAUAAUAUUGUAAAUAUUAUAGAGCGGAAGAUAAUCUGCUCAGAAUAUUGGGGAUCCAUCCUCAAAGGUUAAGUAUAAAUGUUUAGCGAUAGUGAGAAGUAACGUGAGUGAAAGGUUAAAAUUAAGUGGGAAUACUAUUGAAAUAUUGAAUUAGUAAUCAUAUAAGCAAUUAAAGCAAUUCUAUCUUUUGAAAGAUCGAUAAGAAUGUUAUAAUGUACCUUUUGUAUAAUGGGUUAGCGAGUUGAUUAUAGUAGCAAGGUUAAUAGCCCUAGCGAAAGCAACUGAAUUUUUGUGGAUUUUUAGUUACUAUCUUCAGACCCGAAACCCGGUGAUCUAUCCAUGACCAGAUUAUUUUUAAAAUUAGAUCGAAUGGUUCAAUGUUGCAUUAUUGUCCAAUGAGUUGUGGAUUGUCGGCGAAAGGCCAAUCUGACCGGGAUAUAGCUGGUACUCCUCGAAACAUAUUUAGGUAUGACUUUCUUUAAUAGAUUUAUGCGGGUACAGCACUGAUUACUAUACCUUUAUGGUUUAAUUGGGGGGUUAUAAAAACUCUAUCAUUAGUAGUUAAUCUCGGAACAACAUAAAUUAAUGAAGAAAUUUCAGACUACUCAUGAUAAGGUGGGUAGUCGAGACGGAAACAGCCGUGAACAUAGAAUAAGGUCCCAAAGUAAUAAUUAAGUGAAUAUAAGGCAGUUAUGGUCCUAAAACAACUAUAAAGUUAGCUUGGUAGUUGCUAUCUUUUAAUGAAAGUGUAACAACUUAGUAGUCUAAUGGAACACAGCACCGACAAUUUACGGGUCUAGAUUAUUCACCGAAACUAUGUCUUAUUAUUCUAUAAUAUAUUUUUUAUACAUACUUCCACAAUUUGAUUUAAAUUUCUUAUUGACGGAUGUUAUGAUUUUAGAUUAAUAUUGGGUAGAGGAGCAUUCAGUAAAAAUUUGAAUAGUGUUACAUUGUUGAAAUAUUACUGAAGAGAUUAUGCUAACAUGAGUAACGUAGAAAGAAGAUAUAAAUCUUCUCGCCGAAUACGAAAGGGUUUUAAAGAAACGUUAAAUGGCUUUAAUUUAAAUCGGUCUCUAAAAUUUAAGAUUAAAAAGCUUAAUUGAUGAGUGUAUUGUAGAAAGUUAAAUUAUACCAAGAAAAUAAUACGAUCAUACCGUACCCUAAUCUGACACAAGUUCGUAGGUAGAGAAUACUAAGGCGUAGAGAUAAUACUGUAUAAGGAACUCGGCAAAAUGCGUCCGUACGUUUUACAAUAAGGACGACCUAUUCUUUAGGUGUCACAAAAUCGUGAAGCACAACUGUUUACCAAAAACACAGGUAUCUGCUAUGUAAUUUUACAUUGUAUAGGUGCUGAAUCUUGUCCGAUGUCCUGAGUAUAAGAUUGAUAAAGAAUUAUUUAGUUGCGUAAUGAAUUAAUAAUUUAACAAUAAGAAUUACAUAUUUUAAUAUUCUAAAUAUGUUAUCUGUUAACUUAUUAAAUAUAAUAAAGGCACUUAUAUAGUAAGUAUUAAUUGAAACUCUGAUCAAUGACAGACUUAACUAUAAGGUUUUUAACAGUAGCGAAAUUCCUUGGCCGUUAAAUGCGGUCCUGCAUGAAUAGAGUAAUGAUGCUUCAGCUGUCUCAUACAGUAUCUCAGUGAAAUUGAAUUAGCCGUGAAGAUGCGGUUUAAGUGUGGGUAGACGGGAAGACCCUAUGCAGCUUUACUAUAACCAGUUAUUGUUCAAAUCCAAAAGUAUGAAACAGAUAUGGGUAGUGGUUUUUUUAUUUAUAAAAAAAUAACGUUAAUGAGAAACCUUCGAAUACCGUAAGAUGAGAACUCAUCCGUAAUGAAAAUUUUAAUUGACCGUAAAUGUUAUUAUUAAAAAUAAGGUCAAUGAAAAUUGUAUCAAGUUUUUUUAGAAUAAAAAUAAUGACAUUUUUAAUAAGUUGGUUAAAAUGAUUAGUUGGUGACGCUGACUGGUUGGUAGUUUAACUGGGACGGUAGCCUCCAAUAAUGUAUCGGAGGCCUUCUAAGGUAUACUUAAAUUAGAUGGAAACUAAUUCGUUAUGUAAAAUGAAAUUAAAUGUAAAGAUAAAAGUAUGCUUAACUGCUAGAUCGACACAUCAAGCAGAUACGUAAGUAGGACUUAGUGAUCCGGUGAUCCUUUAUGGAAAGGUCAUCGCUAAAGGGAUAAAAGUUACGCUAGGGAUAACAGGGUAAUAGCUCUCGAGAGUUCAUAUUGUCAGAGCUGUUUGCCACCUCGAUGUCGACUCACCUUCACCUCUUGGUGCACAAGCUAAGAAGGGUUCUGCUGUUCGCAGAUUAAAAAGGUACGCGAGUUGGGUUCAAUACGACGUGAGUCAGUAUGGUUCCUAUCUUCCACACUAAGAAUAGUCAAAUUUAGAUGGGUCUUUAGUACGAAAGGACCGAGAUCUGCGUUUCUCUGGUGUACCAAUUGUUGAAAUAAAAUUCGGCACUGUUGGGUAGCUAAAAACGUUUAGAAUAAAAGCUGAAAGCAUAUAAGCUAUUGAAGUCGAUUAAAGGAGACUAUAGGUAAGAAAUAGACUAUUUCUUUAUAGGUCACAUGUGUAAACUUCGUAAGAAGAUCUAGCUUAGUGAUACUAAUUUACCAAUUUUAUUUACACCUACCAUA
rnacentral:rRNA from 1 species